rnacentral:rRNA from 1 species
UUAGCCGUAAACCUAAUGAAUUCAAAAUAAAACAAAAUUCUUCGCCCGAGGACUACUAGCAACAGCCUAAAACUCAAAGGACUUGGCGGUGCUUUAUAUCCAUCUAGAGGAGCCUGUUCUAUAAUCGAUAAACCCCGAUAUACCUUACCAUCUAUUGCAACUCAGCCUAUAUACCGCCAUCUUCAGCAAACCUUAACAAAGGACAGAAGUAAGCACAAUAAUUUUAUCAUAAAAACGUUAGGUCAAGGUGUAGCCUAUGAGAUGGGAAGAAAUGGGCUACAUUUUCUAAACCAGAACAUAAUCACGCUAAUUAAUAUGAAACUUGUUAAUCAAAGGAGGAUUUAGUAGUAAAUUAAGAAUAGAGAGCUUAAUUGAAUAGAGCAAUGAAGCGCGU